rnacentral:rRNA from 1 species
UACGUAGGGACCAAGCGUUGUUCGGAUUUACUGGGCGUAAAGGGCGCGUAGGCGGCUUGACAAGUCACUUGUGAAAUCUCCGGGCUUAACUCGGAACGGCCAAGUGAAACUGUCAUGCUAGAGUGCAGAAGGGGCAAUCGGAAUUCUUGGUGUAGCGGUGAAAUGCGCAGAUAUCAGGAGGAACACCGAUGGCGAAGGCAGGUCUCUGGGCAUUAACUGACGCUGAGGAGCGAAAGCAUGGGGAGCGAACAGG